GAGUUUGAUCAUGGCUCAGAACGAACGCUGGCGGCGUGCCUAACACAUGCAAGUCGAACGAGAAUGCAGGCUUCGGUCUGCUAGUAAAGUGGCGCACGGGUGAGUAACACGUGGGUAACGUACAUCGUAGUGGGGGAUAACCAGGUGAAAGCUUGGCUAAAUACCGCAAUGAGUCUGUCGGGACGCGAGUCCUGAUAGGGAAAGUGGAGCAAUCCACGCUACGAGAUCGGCCCGCGGCCCAUUAGCUAAGUUGGCGGGGUAACGGCCCACCAAGGCGACGAUGGGUAGCUGGUCUGAGAGGAUGAUC
rnacentral:rRNA from 1 species